rnacentral:tRNA from 115 species
CGGGCUGUAGCGCAGCCUGGUAGCGCACCUGCUUCGGGAGCAGGGGGUCGGAGGUUCGAAUCCUCUCAGCCCGACCA